UACAGAGGUCUCAAGCGUUGUUCGGAUUCAUUGGGCGUAAAGGGCGCGCAGGCGGCUACGCACGUCCGUUGUGAAAUCGCUCGGCUCAACUGGGCGGGGUCAGCGGAUACGGCGUAGCUGGAGCAAGCUAGGGGGCAAUGGAAUUCCCGGUGUAGUGGUGGAAUGCGUAGAUAUCGGGAGGAACACCAGUGGCGAAGGCGGUUGCCUGGAGCUUUGCUGACGCUGAGGCGCGAAAGCGUGGGGAGCGAUCCGG
rnacentral:rRNA from 1 species